GUUGCGGUUAAAAAGCUCGUAGUUGGAUCUCGGCGGGCAGGGGGUGGUUCGCUCUUCAGCGCUACUGCCCCGCUUUGCCCGUGUGAUUGGCGGAGGUUUCGGGGUGCUCUUCGUUGAGUGACUCGGAGCGCCGUCAGGUUUACUUUGAAAAAAUUAGAGUGCUCAAAGCAGGCUUUUCACGCUUGAAUAUUCGUGCAUGGAAUAAUGGAAUAGGAACUCGUUUCUAUUUUGUUGGUUUUCGGAAAUCGAGUUAAUGAUUAACAGGGACAAUUGGGGGCAUUAGUAUUCAGACGACAGAGGUGAAAUUCUUGGACCGUCUGAAGACUGACUACUGCGAAAGCAUUUGCCAAGAGUGUUUUCAUUAAUCAAGAACGAAAGUUAGAGGUUCGAAGGCGAUCAGAUACCGCCCUAGUUCUAACCAUAAACGAUGCCAGCUAGCGAUCUGCCGAGUUUUUUUGUAGGCUCCGCAGGAAGCUUUCGGGAAACCAAAGCUUUUGGGUUCCGGGGGAAGUAUGGUUGCAAAGCUGAAACUUAAAGGAAUUGACGGAAGGGCACCACCAGGAGUGGAGCCUGCGGCUUAAUUUGACUCAACACGGGAAAUCUCACCAGGCCCGGACACUGGAAGGAUUGACAGAUUGAGAGCUCUUUCUCGAUUCGGUGGGUGGUGGUGCAUGGCCGUUCUUAGUUGGGGGAGUGAUUUGUCUGGUUAA
rnacentral:rRNA from 1 species